GACGGAGGAUGCAAGCGUUAUCCGGAUUUAUUGGGUUUAAAGGGUACGCAGGCGGAAAAUUAAGUCAGUGGUGAAAUCCUGCAGCUUAACUGUAGAACUGUCAUUGAUACUGGUUUUCUUGAAUACAGUUGAGGUAGGCGGAAUGUGUAAUGUAGCGGUGAAAUGCUUAGAUAUUACACAGAACACCGAUUGCGAAGGCAGCUUACUAAACUGUGAUUGACGCUGAGGUACGAAAGCGUGGGGAGCGAACAGG
rnacentral:rRNA from 1 species